UUGAAUUAUAUUAAAACGUAACAAGAAUUCAUCCUCCAAGAGGUUCCAUCAAAACUCUAGAUAAUAAACUAGCUACUCAUAAUACUAUGUAAAGCUACAAUACUAAAAUUCAUAACCAACAAUGAAAAAUAGGAAGAAGAAGAAGAAGAAGAAGAAGAAGAAGAAGAAGAAGAAGAAGAAGAAGGGAAAAAACUCGUGGUUGAAUCUUCCUCCUUGCUCCUAGUGUGUUUUCGCUUCCUUAGGUGUUGUAUAACCCUAAAGUAGUGUCUCCUCCUUCAAAAGGACGUUUUAUGAUGUAUUUAUAUCAAUUAGGGUUGAUAUGGGGCGUCUUUAAUCUCUCCUAAUUUGAAAAGGACACGCUGAGUCGCGUGCUAGAGUUGGUGCAAAGCGCGACUUCUAGCACGCUCCCAGCUAUUUUUUUCUUCUUCUUUGUUCUUUCACGUGCCAGGUGCAGCGCCAACCUCCAUACUUCGCUGUUUUUUGUUCAUCUCCUAGGCCAUUUCCCGUCUACCUUCAUGCAAUGUACCAAUUGUGGCACGCUCCCAGGUCUUGCAUCUCUACUCUUUUUGCAUCAAAUCAUCCAAUACUUGCUAGCUUCCAUCCAAAUUCAUUCCUACACACAAUAAACAUGAAAUGAGCAUAUUAUAUGUUUAUAAACAUGUAAUCUCCCGCAAUUCACAUAAGAUAUAAUAUGCAAACAUACUCAAAGACAUACAUUUUUUAUCAUUUAUCACGAAUAUGAGAAUAUGAUUCGUGCACCGAGUUACCCUUUACGUCCCUCGUGACAAAGGGAAUAUAGCUGACUUCCUGGUUGAGCAUUCCAUACUCCACUGAUUAUGAGAAAAAAAAAAAAAAAAAUCCUUUAGUUGAUUUUUUGUUCCCUUAAGGGAACUAAAAUGAUCUAGUCAUUGAGAGAAUUCGAUCAGACCCAAUUUUUUUGUUUGAAUCAUG
rnacentral:lncRNA from 1 species